rnacentral:rRNA from 1 species
UACGUAGGGGGCAAGCGUUGUCCGGAUUCAUUGGGCGUAAAGAGCUCGUAGGCGGUUCGGCAAGUCGGGUGUGAAAACUCCAGGCUCAACCUGGAGACGCCACCCGAUACUGCUGUGACUUGAGUCCGGUAGGGGACCACGGAAUUCCUGGUGUAGCGGUGAAAUGCGCAGAUAUCGGGAGGAACACCGGUGGCGAAGGCGGUUCUCUGGGCCUGUACUGACGCUGAGGAGCGAAAGCGUGGGGAGCGAACAGG